GUGCUUAAACAUGCAAGUCGAACGGUGAAAGAGAGCUUGCUCUCUGGAUCAGUGGCGAACGGGUGAGUAACACGUGAGCAAUCUGCCCCUGACUCUGGGAUAAGCGCUGGAAACGGCGUCUAAUACCGGAUACGAGCUGCGAAGGCAUCUUCAGCAGCUGGAAAGAACUUCGGUCAGGGAUGAGCUCGCGGCCUAUCAGCUAGUUGGUGAGGUAAUGGCUCACCAAGGCGUCGACGGGUAGCCGGCCUGAGAGGGUGACCGGCCACACUGGGACUGAGACACGGCCCAGACUCCUACGGGAGGCAGCAGUGGGGAAUAUUGCACAAUGGGCGCAAGCCUGAUGCAGCAACGCCGCGUGAGGGACGACGGCCUUCGGGUUGUAAACCUCUUUUAGCAAGGAAGAAGCGAAAGUGACGGUACUUGCAGAAAAAGCGCCGGCUAACUACGUGCCAGCAGCCGCGGUAAUACGUAGGGCGCAAGCGUUAUCCGGAAUUAUUGGGCGUAAAGAGCUCGUAGGCGGUUUGUCGCGUCUGCUGUGAAAACCCGAGGCUCAACCUCGGGCCUGCAGUGGGUACGGGCAGACUAGAGUGCGGUAGGGGAGAUUGGAAUUCCUGGUGUAGCGGUGGAAUGCGCAGAUAUCAGGAGGAACACCGAUGGCGAAGGCAGAUCUCUGGGCCGUAACUGACGCUGAGGAGCGAAAGGGUGGGGAGCAAACAGGCUUAGAUACCCUGGUAGUCCACCCCGUAAACGUUGGGAACUAGUUGUGGGGUCCAUUCCACGGAUUCCGUGACGCAGCUAACGCAUUAAGUUCCCCGCCUGGGGAGUACGGCCGCAAGGCUAAAACUCAAAGGAAUUGACGGGGACCCGCACAAGCGGCGGAGCAUGCGGAUUAAUUCGAUGCAACGCGAAGAACCUUACCAAGGCUUGACAUAUACGAAAACGGGCCAGAAAUGGUCAACUCUUUGGACACUCGUAAACAGGUGGUGCAUGGUUGUCGUCACCUCGUGUCUUGAAAUGUUGGGUUAAGUCCCGCAACGAGCGCAACCCUCGUUCAUGUUGCCAGCCCUU
rnacentral:rRNA from 1 species